UGUUUUUGGUCCCAAGGCUCGCU
rnacentral:snRNA from 1 species